rnacentral:rRNA from 1 species
CCUACGGGUGGCAGCAGUGAGGAAUAUUGGUCAAUGGGCGAGAGCCUGAACCAGCCAAGUCGCGUGAGGGAGUACUGCCCUAUGGGUUGUAAACCUCUUUUGUCGGGGAGCAAAAGCCGGACGUGUCCGGCUGUGAGAGUACCCGAAGAAAAAGCAUCGGCAAACUCCGUGCCAGCAGCCGCGGUAAUACGGAGGAUGCGAGCGUUAUCCGGUUUUAUUGGGUUUAAAGGGUGCGCAGGCGGAUUUUUAAGUCAGCGGUAAAAUCGUGGGGCUCAACCCCAUCCAGCCGUUGAAACUGGGGAUCUAGAGUGUGCGAGAGGUAUGCGGAAUGCGUGGUGUAGCGGUGAAAUGCAUAGAUAUCACGCAGAACCCCGAUUGCGAAGGCAGCAUACCGGUGCACAACUGACGCUCAGGCACGAAAGCGUGGGUAUCGAACAGGAUUAGAUACCCUUGUAGUC